GGAAACGACUGCUAAUACCGCAUGAUGUAGUUCGGGGGGCAUCCCCUGAAUACCAAAGCUUUAUGUGCUGAAAGAUGGUCUCGCGUCUGAUUAGCUAGUUGGUGGGGUAACGGCUCACCAAGGCGACGAUCAGUAGCCGGUCUGAGAGGAUGAACGGCCACAUUGGGACUGAGAUACGGCCCAGACUCCUACGGGAGGCAGCAGGUGGGGAAUAUUGGGCAAUGGGGGAAACCCUGACCCAGCAACGCCGCGUGAAGGAAGAAGGCCUUCGGGUUGUAAACUUCUUUUAGCAGGGACGAAGGACGUGACGGUACCUGCAGAAAAAGCAACGGCUAACUACGUG
rnacentral:rRNA from 1 species